rnacentral:rRNA from 1 species
GACGGCCUUCGGGUUGUAAACUCCUGUCAGAGGNGAAGAAUGCCUGAUUUAUCNGGUUUGACGGUAACCUCAGAGGAAGCCCCGGCUAACUACGUGCCAGCAGCCGCGGUAAUACGUAGGGGGCAAACGUUGCUCGGAAUUACUGGGCGUAAAGGGUGUGUAGGUGGCUGAGUAAGUCACGGAUGAAAUCCCGAGGCUCAACCUCGGAAUUGUCCUUGAAACUGCUCAGCUUGAGGAUAGNCUGA